GACGGGGGAUGCGAGCGUUAUCCGGAAUGAUUGGGCGUAAAGGGUCCGCAGGUGGCCCGGUCAGUCCGCUGUCAAAGCCUGGGGCUCAACCCUGGAGAGGCGGCGGAGACCACCGGGCUUGAGUCCGGUAGGGGCAGAGGGAAUUCCCGGUGGAGCGGUGAAAUGCGUAGAUAUCGAGAGGAACACCUGCGGCGAAGGCGGGUUGCUGGGCCGACACUGACGCUGAUGCGCGAAAGCCAGGGGAGCGAACGGG
rnacentral:rRNA from 1 species